rnacentral:rRNA from 1 species
GACGAGAAGGAAAUUCGAUUUACGGUUACUCUUGUUACGACUUCGCCCCAAUCACCCUCCUCACCUUCAUUAUUCGCCCCCUAUUCGGUUAGCUGAAAUAAUUUCGGGUGCGGACGGCUCUCAUGGCGUGACGGGCGGUGUGUACAAGGUCCGAGAACGUAUUCACCGUAUCGUUCUGAUAUACGAUUACUAGCGAUUUCAGCUUCAUGAAGUCGAGUUGCAGACUUCAAUCUGAACUUAGACGAAUUUUACAGGAUUUGCUCCACCUCGCGGUUUCGCGUCCCUUUGUAGCUCGCCAUUGUAACACGUGUGUAGCCCUGGGCAUAAGGGCCAUGAGGACUUGACGUCAUCCCCACCUUCCUCCGCGUUUCCACGGCAGUCCCGCUAGAGUGCCGGCUCACGCCAAGCAACUAACGGCAGGGGUUGCGCUCGUUCAAGGACUUAACCCGACGUCUCACGACACGAGCUGACGACAGCCAUGCAGCACCUGUGUAACCGCCUGUAUUGCUACAGGACCCAGUGUUUCCACCGGGUUGCAGUUACAUGUCAAGCCCAGGUAAGGUUCCUCGCGUAGUGUCGAAUUGAACCACAUGUUCCACCGCUUGUGCGGACCCCCGUCAAUUUCUUUGAGUUUUAAUCUUGCGACCGUACUCCUCAGGGGAUCACUUACGCGUUAGCUACGACAAGAUCUUGCUAGCAAGACCCCAUCUAGUGAUCAUCGUUACGGCGUGACUACAGGGUUCUAUUCUUGUUUGCUCCCACGCUUCGUUCUGACGUCAGUUGGGCA